AGAGUUUUCAAUGACCUCAAUCUGUUUGCACUUCCCGUUUUGAUUUCUUCAGUCCUCGUCACUUUUGUGCUUGUGGUUACAUCCCAUAUUUUCACAGUACAAUCAGCAGAACCAGAUGCAAGCAGUGAACCUUCACAACUGAAAGCUAGUGUCCAUACACAUGAAUUGUGGCCCAUCAAAGGCGAAACACAGCGGCCACUUGAAAGGUCCCAC
rnacentral:misc_RNA from 1 species